GGAGGCUGACGGCGGACGGACCCCUCGCCAACCCGGUCAGAUCCGGAAGGAAGCAGCCGUAACGAGCUUCGGUUCGGGUCGUUGCUCAGUCUCCCAC
rnacentral:SRP_RNA from 1 species